ensembl:miRNA
GGCUUCUCUGUGUAUCCCUGGCUGUCCUAGAACUCACUUUGUAGACCAGACUGGCCUUGAACUCACAGAGAUCCACCUGCCUCUGCCUCCUGAGUGCUGGGAUUAAAAGCAUGCGCCACCACUGCCCG